CCUACGGGUGGCUGCAGUGGGGGAUAUUGCACAAUGGAGGAAACUCUGAUGCAGCGACGCCGCGUGAGGGAAGACGGUCUUCGGAUUGUAAACCUCUUUCUUUGGGGAAGAAAAUGACGAUACCCAAAGAGUAAGCUCCGGCUGACUACGUGCCAGCAGCCGCGGUAAUACGUAGGGAGCGAGCGUUGUCCGUAAUUGCUGGGUGAAAAGGGAGCGUAGGGGGGUGUGAAAGUUGAAUGUUAAAUCUACCGGUUUACCUGGUAGCUGCGUUCGAAACUUCUUGUCUUGAGUGAAGUAGAGGCAGGCGGAAUUCCUAGUGUAGCGGUGAAAUGCGUAGAUAUUAGGAGGAACACCAGUGGCGAAGGCGGCCUGCUGGGCUUUAACUGACGCUGAGGCUCGAAAGCGUGGGGAGCAAACAGGAUUAGAUACCCGAGUAGUC
rnacentral:rRNA from 1 species